UUCGCAAUGCCCGAAAGGGUGACGAAGCGACGCCGCGUGUGGGAAGAAGGCCUUCGGGUUGUAAACCCCUGUCGGGAGUUAAGAAAUACAAGGAUAUUAAUAGUGUCUUUGUUUGACUAAGGCUCCGGAGGAAGCCACGGCUAACUCUGUGCCAGCAGCCGCGGUAAUACAGAGGCGGCAAGCGUUGUUCGGAAUUAUUGGGCGUAAAGGGCACGUAGGCGGCUAUGUAAGUCGGUUGAGAAAGCCUUCCGCUCAACGGAAGAACAGCAUCCGAUACUACAUGGCUUGAGUGCGGAAGGGGAGAGUGGAACUUCUGGUGGAGCGGUGAAAUGCGUAGAUAUCAGAAGGAACACCGGCGGCGAAGGCGACUCUCUGGUCCGUAACUGACGCUGAGUGUGCGAAAGCUAGGGGAGCAAACGGGAUUAGAUACCCCGGUAGUCCUAGCCGUAAAC
rnacentral:rRNA from 1 species